ACUGUGACUUCUGCCAACAGCGGGACCUCCAUCAGCCCCACAAGCUCCAACACUGUGACCUCAGGCACGAUUGCCACCUCCACCAGCCACACAACCUCCAACACUGUCACCACUGCCAACACUGCGACCUCCACAAGCCCCACAACCUCCAACACUGUGACUUCCGGCAGCCACACAACCGUCAACAGCCCCACAUCAUCCACAACCACGCAACCUAUAACUGCCUCCACCACAACCUCCAACACUGCGACCUCUGAGAACACUGUGACCUCCAUCAGCCCCACAACAGCCAACACUGUGACCUCACGCACGACUGUGCCCUCCACCAGCCGCACAACCUCCUCUGCAACCACCCAACCCACAACUGCCUCCACUGCAACCUACAACACCGUGACUUCUGCCAACAACGUGACCACCUUCAGCCCCACAACCUCCAACACUGUGACUACCGGCAGCCCCACAACACCUACCACAAUCACCCAACCAACAACUGCCUCCACCACAACCUCCAACACCACAACUUCUACCGACACUGAGACAACCAUCAGCCCCACAACCUCCAACACUGUGACUUCCGGCAGCCCCACAACCCCUACCCCAAUCACGCAACCUACAACUGCCUCCACCACAACCUCCAACACCGCGACUUCUGCCAACACCGGGACAUCCAUCAGCCGCACAACCUACAACACUGUGACUACCACCAGCCCCACAACCACCACCACAACCACCCAACCUACAACUGCCUCCACCACAACCUCCAACACCGCGACUUCUGCCAACACCGCGACUUCCAUCAGCCCCACAACCACCAACACUGUGACCUCUGCCAACACUGCGACCUCAACCAGCCCCACAACCUCCUCCGCAACCACCCAACCCACAACGGCCUCCACCACCACAUCCAUCACCGUGACUUCUGCCAACAACGUGACCUCCAUCAGCCCCACAACCUCCAACACUGUGACUUCUGGCAGCCCCACAACAGUCACCAGACCCACAACCUCCAUCACUGUGACCUCUGCCAACACCGUGCCUUCCACCAGACCCACAACCUCUUCCGCAACCUCCCAACCCACAGCUGCCUCCACCACAACCUCCAACACCGCGACUUCUGCCGACACUGCGACAACCAUCAGCCCCACAACCUCCAACACUGUGACUUCUGGGAGCCCCACAACCCCUACCACAAUCACGCAACCUACAACUGCAUCCACCACAUCAUCCAACACCGCGACUUCUGCCAACACCGUGACCUCCACCGGCACCACAACCACCAACACUGUGACUUCCGGCAGCCCAACAACCACCACCACAACCACCCAACCUACAACAGCCUCCACCACAACAUCCAACACCGUGACUUCUGCCGACACCGCGACUUCCAUCAGCCCCACAACCUCCAACACUGUGACUUCCGGCAGCCCCACAACCGUCACCAGCCCCACAACCUCCACCACAACCACGCAACCUACAACUGCCUCCAGCACAAUCUCCUACACUGUGACCUCUGAAAGCACUGUGACAACCAUCAGCCCCACAACCUCCAACACUGCGACCUCUGAGAACACCGUGACCUCCACCAGCCCCACAACCUCCUCUGCAACCACGCAACCCACAACUGCCUCAACAACCUCCAACACCGCGACUUCUGCCAUCACUGCGACCUCCGUCAGCAUCACAACCUCCAGCACCGCGACUUCCGCCAACACCGGGACCUCCUACAGCCCCACAGCCUCCAAGACCACGAGCUAUGAGAGCCCCACAACCAUCAUAACCCACCCCACAACCACCCCCACCCCUCCCACCACCAGCCCCACAACCACCAUAACCCACCCCACAACCACUGACACCCCAACAACCCGCCCCACAACCACCAACAACCCACCCACAACCACCCCCACCCCACCCAACAGCAGCCCCACAACCCCAACCACCCACCCCACAACCACCGACACCCCACCAACCAGCCC
ensembl:lncRNA